AGCGAACGCUGGCGGCAAGCUUAACACAUGCAAGUCGAACGAGAUCUUCGGAUCUAGUGGCAGACAGGUGAGGAACACGUGGGAACAUCCCUUUCAGUUCGGAAUAACGUUGGGAAACUAACGCUAAUACCGGAUACGUCCUUCGGGAGAAAAAUUUAUCGCUGAAAGAUUGGCCCGCGUCUGAUUAGCUAGUUGGUGAGGUAACGGCUCACCAAGGCUACGAUCAGUAGCUGAUCUGAGAGGAUGAUCAGCCACAUUGGGACUGAGACACGGCCCAAACUCCUACGGGAGGCAGCAGUGGGGAAUAUUGGACAAUGGGCGCAAGUCUGAUCCAGCCAUGCCGCGUGAGUGAUGACGGCCUUCGGGUUGUAAAACUCUUUUGUCCGGGAAGAUAAUGACUGUACCGGAAGAAUAAGCCCCGGCAAACUUCGUGCCAGCCGCCGCCGUAA
rnacentral:rRNA from 1 species